UAGAGGGAGGAAAGACUUCUCCCAAGCUGCCAUUUCCAAGAGUUCAGCAGCUUCUAUGACUGCAACCAGGGGAGCAGAAUUUUAUCAGUAAACUCUCUGGAAUGGAUAAAGGAGAUCUUCUGAGCAACCGUGGAAAUCCGACUGCUUUUAUGAUCUGUUGUUGAGUUGCUGUCAAUAAACUCAUAAAGGGCUUCUCCUAUGUGAUUAUAUCAAGAGCUAUAAAGGAGACAGUCAAUGUUAACACUGGAGUGAGGUAAAAAAUAUCUUCUAAAUUCAAUAUAAAGCUUCAAAGAGUCAGAUAUUUUGGAAAGUCUCAGAGUUUUAGUCUACGUAGCACCAUCUAGAGAAUUAAGUAGAACAUCUAGAGAACAAGAUCAGGAUCAGGUACGGAGACAGCUUUCUCUUGCUUAUGGAUUUGAGAGAUUUUAUGCAUCAUAGUAGAUGUGUGUUUGUGAAUGAAAAAUUGACUUGCUGAAUAAAUGAAGACAUUUAACCUCAGUACAAAAAUCCUCUCUGUAAUUUUAAUAAAGUCAAUGGCUAUAAGGUAGAGCGAACUCAUAUACUUAUUUUAAAGAUUAAUCACAGUUCAAAAUUGUUGCCCUCUGAAUUCAUUAGAAGUUCUUUCAUACAUUUGUGGUGGCUACAGAUUUUAAAGAAAAAAAUACAGUGUCAUCAUUUACUAUUUAGACUUGUAGAUUAAUAAUUUUAAAAUGUUAUUAUAUAUCAAUUUGAAAAUUUAAGUUUAUUAAUGUAUCUUCAAUAAUUUCUAAAUUAUUAUUAUAUACCAGUAUUUGUAGAAUUAAAUCUUUCAGGUACCCUCAGCAUAUAAAUUGUGUAUGGUGCUUGUUUGUAUCAUUAAACUUAAGUAAAUGUAAAUAUUAUAAGAGAAAACAUAAAUGAAAUAUCCAAUAUUGCAUGUCUUUGGAAUGAUUAUAGCUUUACACAGCUUUGAUCUGACAGAAAGAACUGAAUAAUAAAUAGCCCAUGUUUUGGAACCAAACAUCUGGUGUUGUAUUAUCUCUACCACUUAAUAACAUAGAACAAUAGGCAAGUUUUUCAACCUUUCCAUUUUCUUAAGUUUUCCUCACUGUAACAUUGAGUGAUUAGAGUCCCAACAUCAUCAUGUCAUAGUAAUGUUUACACAUAAUAGCAUUUGUUUAAUACUUGGAAACAUAUCUAGCAGAUAAAAGAUGUUCAAAUAAUAUGAACCCUUAUUAUUAAUUAUUUCUAUGUCUCUUAUAUAGCAUUAAACAUUGGGGAGGAGAAUGAACAUACAUUUAUGUCUUGUUUUAUUUUACCUUCAGUUAAGG
rnacentral:lncRNA from 1 species